rnacentral:misc_RNA from 1 species
GAACGCCCCUCGGGGCUUAUCCAACCAACCUCUGUGAACCGUGGCCCUCGGGCCUUUACAAACAUUGAACGUCAUGAACGUAGUAAUCUAUAACAAAUAAAACUUUCAACAACGGAUCUCUUGGCUCU